rnacentral:tRNA from 1 species
GCCUCUGUAGCUCAGUGGUUAGAGCACUGGUCUCGUAAACCAGGGGUCGUGAGUUCGAAUCUCACCCGAGGCU